rnacentral:rRNA from 1 species
AUUCCCCCAGUAAGGGCGACUGAAAAGGGAAGAGCUCACCGUGUGAAUCUGCGCAUACCGUGCAAGCGGGCGCGCCGAAUUGUGGUCUGGAGAGACAUUGUCGACCGUGGUUCUGGGCCAAGUCCCUUGGAAAAGGGCAGCUGAGAGGGUGAAACUCCCGUUCUUGCCUGGGAUUUGCGUGUCAUGGCACGUGUUCUCAAAGAGUCGAGUUGCUUGGGAUUGCAGCUCAAAGUGGGUGGUAAAUUCCAUCUAAAGCUAAAUAUUGGUGGGAGACCGAUAGCGCACAAGUACCGUGAGGGAAAGAUGCAAAGAACUUUGAAAAGAGAGUUAAAGAGUACCUGAAAUUGCUGAAAGGGAAGCAAAGGAAACCAGUGCGUUGUGCGUGUCAUAUUUCUCCUGCUGCUUGCGGUGGGGGCGCUGUGGCCGUGCGUAGCGUCAGCAUCGGUUCGUACUUCGGAGCAAACGGUGUGGCGGAGGUUAUUCCAUUACGGGAUGAAUGACAGCCGCUCUAAGUUCUGGAGGGGACCGAGGUUAGUCACAUGCUCGUGAUGCUGGC